GUCACCUUCAAAAACCUGACAAAUGCCACAAAAAGAGAUCUGGCUGACUGGAUAUAACCUGUGUUUGCAGUCCCAUUCAUAGAUCUAGGGAUUAUGUUUCAGUCUGAAAGACUUUUCUGACAGCAAAAACAAAAACAAAAAAAAACACAAAAAAACACAUAAAAAUUAUUUUGCUGAAAUAUUAAUUUGCUUUUUUCCAAGGCCAUGAUCUCUGCUUAUUCUGAGAAGUAAAGCAGUUACUUGCUUUCUCCUUCACCACACAUUUAAACCCUCAGCAUUUCUAGCCACCUCUCCCCUUCCCUUCUCCUUUAGUGUGUGGGACGUGGAUGUUUGCUGCCAGUUGCCUGCCUCUGCUGCAGCAAACUCAGUGUCUGCUUGACUGGAACCAAGAGGGUGUUGUGGUAGAAAAUGGGCCCAGAGGGCAGCAACAUAUCGCCGCAAGAUGCACCCAGGCUGAGGAUUCUGACUUCAAUAACAAUCUCGAGGGCAAGCUGAUUCAAGGGCUUAUGACAGAAAGUGGAAAAGAUGCAUUGUGCUGUGAGUGCAGAGUUGGCCAAAGUGUUCAGGUGAGGGCAAAGUACUGUUUAUCAAGUUUGUGUUUGUGAAAUGAUUU
rnacentral:lncRNA from 1 species